rnacentral:rRNA from 1 species
AAAGGGUCUUUGCCUUAGUACGGCGAGUGAGCGGCAAAAGCUCAAAUUUGAAAUCUAGCACUUUCAGUGUUCGAGUUGUAAUUUGAAGAAGGUAACUUUGGAAUUGGCUCUUGUCUAUGUUCCUUGGAACAGGACGUCACAGAGGGUGAGAAUCCCGUGCGAUGAGAUGUCCAAUUCUAUGUAAAGUGCUUUCGAAGAGUCGAGUUGUUUGGGAAUGCAGCUCUAAGUGGGUGGUAAAUUCCAUCUAAAGCUAAAUAUUGGCGAGAGACCGAUAGCGAACAAGUACAGUGAUGGAAAGAUGAAAAGAACUUUGAAAAGAGAGUGAAAAAGUACGUGAAAUUGUUGAAAGGGAAGGGCUUGAGAUCAGACUUGGUAUUUUGUGUUCCUUAUCCUUCUUGGAUUAGGUUCCUCACAGCUUACCGGGCCAGCAUCGGUUUGGAUGGCAGGAUAAUGACAUUGGAAUGUAGCUUUGCUUCGGUGAAGUGUUAUAGACUUUGUUGAUACUGCCUAUCUAGACCGAGGACUGCGUCUUUGACUAGGAUGCUGGCGUAAUGAUCUUAAGCCGCCCGUCUUGAACAACGGGACACAA